rnacentral:rRNA from 1 species
UACGAAGGGGGCUAGCGUUGCUCGGAAUCACUGGGCGUAAAGCGCACGUAGGCGGGUCGUUAAGUCAGGGGUGAAAUCCUGGAGCUCAACUCCAGAACUGCCCUUGAUACUGGCGAUCUCGAGUUCGGGAGAGGUGAGUGGAACUGCGAGUGUAGAGGUGAAAUUCGUAGAUAUUGGGUGGAACACCGGUGGCGAAAGCGGCUCUCUGGCCCGGAUCUGACGCUGAGGCGCGAAAGCGUGGGGAGCAAACAGG